CCUACGGGCGGCAGCAGUGAGGAAUAUUGGUCAAUGGGCGCAAGCCUGAACCAGCCAAGUCGCGUGAGGGAAGACGGCCCUACGGGUUGUAAACCUCUUUUGCCGGGGAGCAAGCCUGAGCACGUUUGCCCAGGCGGAGAGUACCCGGAGAAAAAGCAUCGGCUAACUCCGUGCCAGCAGCCGCGGUAAUACGGAGGAUGCGAGCGUUAUCCGGAUUGAUUGGGUUUAAAGGGUGCGUAGGCUGUGAGGUAAGUCAGCGGUGAAAUGCCCCCGCUCAACGGGGUGAAGUGCCAUUGAUACUGCCUUGCUGGAAUGCGGAUGCCGUGGGAGGAAUGUGUGGUGUAGCGGUGAAAUGCAUAGAUAUCACACAGAACACCGAUUGCGAAGGCAUCUCACGAAUCCGCGAUUGACGCUGAUGCACGAAAGCGUGGGUAUCAAACAGGAUUAGAUACCCCAGUAGUC
rnacentral:rRNA from 1 species